rnacentral:lncRNA from 1 species
ACCCGGCGGCCGUGGUCCCUGCGCGCGGCACGAGGCAUGGUAUCUCCCAGAAUAUCCUGUGAAUGUUCGCAUUAGUCUGCUCAUCAGAUUGCUUUCCAACCAAAAAAUACUGUGUUCUACAAAGGAGGAGCAUCUUUAUCUCAAAGCAGCAGUUCUUAUCGCCAAGUAUUCAGCAUCUCUUUGGAAUUCAUUUGUCAGCCUCUCUGGUUCCGGGAGCUGUAUUUGCCUAUCUUAGUUUGCUGAGUGCAGCGAAGAAUCUAGAACAGUGGUUCUCACACCAGCAUCAUUUGCAUCCAGUGUGAGCUUCUUUGAAAUGCAAAUUUGAAGGCCUCACCCCAAACUACUGAAUCAGAAUCUCUGGUGUUGGGGCCCCAGGAGACUACUUAAGCAAGCUCUCCUGGGGAUGCCUGUGCCCCCCCAGAGUUUGAGAAUGAUUGCUCCAGAAGAAUACCUAUACAGGGCUGCACUGAAGCCCGGGGGUAAAAAGAAAACAGAGGUUAACUUGCUUCGAGAUAUCCUGCUGACAAGAUAUGACUUGGUCUCUCCGACAUAUGUGACUCCCAACCCAACUAGUUCCUAGCUUGCUGUUUCUAAAGGACCCCAAAUGUAGACUUUUGCCCCUUUUGAAGUCAAGAUCAGAAGUUCUCAGGAUUUUAAAAUGUCAGGCUUCCCUAUUGCCCCCAAAUUGUUCAAAGUCCUUUGAUAGUAGGCAUACUUUUAUGUGCAUACUGUUUAUAUAUUUGAGGAAAUAUAUAAUGAACAAAGUCUAUUAAUUUAAAAAAUUACAAAUUCAUUUAAAAGAAUUAUGAAAUUAAGUAGCAAAGUGUAUUUUUAAAUAAUAGUACAUAUAUGUAUGAGAUACUCAUUUUACAGAUAAUGCUUGGUGGAUUACAUAUUUGGAUUCAUAGCAAUGUCUUCAACUUACUCCUUGGCCCCUUCAAUCCCUGUUUGGGAACCACUGCUCUAGACCAAAGGAAAUGAAGCAUAGCGAGAGUUUGGAGUCCCUUCUUUCACUGGAACAAGGCCUGCCUUCUGCACUUUAGUAUACUGUUUAAGAGGCUCUCUCCCCUCAAUGUAUAAUUUAUACCCCUUUCAGAGAAAACUCUACUUACUACCCAUAGCCCCUCCUGUGGUUUGAAUAAUGGUGUCCCCUCCAAAAUUCACGUUGAAACUUUAUCCUCAUGGUGGCAGUAUUAAGAGGUUGGCAUUUGGGGAAGUGAUUAAGUUAUGAGGGUUCUGCUCUCAUGAAUUUGAUUAGUGCCUCAUAAAAGGACUGGAGGGAAUUAGCUUGGGCCGUUUUUGCCCUUCUGUCCUGCCAUGUGAAGGCCCCUAGGUGGCACCAUGAGGAAUGGGCCUUCAGCAGACACCAAACCUGCUGGUGCCUUGACCUUGGACUUCUCAGCCUUCAGAACUGUGAGAAAUAAAUUUCUGUUAUUUGCAAAUGACACAGUUGCAGCUAUUUCAUUAUAGCAGCACAAACAGACUACCCUUAUAGCUAGAACUUCAGAGCCACUGCGCCCGGCAGAAAAAGCAGUUGUAUUUCUACAUAGCAACAGCAACUAGAAAAUUUUUAAACAUUGGAAUAUAAACUAUUCCGAAAAAUUCUUAACAAAAGAUUAGCAAAACCUCUAGUCUGAAAACCACAACAUAUCACUCAGAGGAAUGAAAGAAGAGCUAAAUAAAUGGAAGGAUAUACGAUGUAAUGUCUUGGAAACUUUAGUAUUGUAAAGUUGCCAGUGCUUCUCAAAGUCAUGUAUGAAUUCAGUGCAAUCUCAAUCAAAAUCUCACCAUAUUUUUGUAGUGGAAAUUGACAAGCUGAUGCUACCAUUUACAAAUAAAAAUGCAAGGGGCCAAGAAUAGCCAAAAUAAUCUUAAGGAAGAAGAAAAUGGAAGUUUUACCUCACCAGAUAAUAAGAUUUACUCUAAAGCUACGAUAAUUAAAACAGCGUGUUCUUAGUGUGAAGAUAGACAAAUAGAAGAAUGGAACAGAAUAGAGUCUAAAGAAGAACUCAAGGGCCAAAAGUAGCCAAGAAGAACAGAUCUGGAAGACAUUAUCCCUCCAGAUAUCAAGAUCUCUUAUAAAGAUAUGUGGUAUCGACGCAAGGAAAGGCAAGCUGACCAAGGCAAGCUGACCAGUGGAACUAAACAAAGUCCAGAAACAGGUUCACACAUAUAGUCAUCCGGUGUGUAUCUUUGUGUGUGUGUAUUUCACAAAGGCUUAAAGUAAUGUGUCUUCAAUAAAUGGUGCUACAUCCAAAAGAGCAUAACUAUAUGUUUCCAUUUUAUAUGAAGUUCAAAAAUAGACAACAGAAUAGUGAUUACCUCUGGAGGCAGCUGGGGGCUGCCUCUGGUAGGGUGGGGGUGUUGCCUGGGAAGAAGCAUGAGAGAAUCUUCAGGGGUCCUGGAAAUAUUCCAUAUCUUGAUUUGGUUGGUGGUACACUGUUGUGUAUAAUAUACACGUAUUUGUACAUGUGUGUAUAAAAUGUCAUUGAGCUCCACAUUUAAGAUUUUUUGGACUUUAUUAUAUGUAUGCUAACCUCAAUAAAACUAAAAAAUUCCUCACUCGAGUGAAAACUUUUUUAAUUUAAAUAAAAAUAAACGGUAUUUCAUUUAGAAAUGGAAACCAGGCACAUUAUCUUACACAGUAUUUCAUAAACUACCAUCACCUAGUGAAUAUAGCAAAAGACUGUAUAUGGCUUCAAAGCCACAUAAUGCACCUAAAUUCUCUAAAAUUGCCAGCAAUUACAAAGUGAUAGAUAUGAGCCACAUAGGAUCAAGAUGGGGAUUCACUCAUUCCAUAUUUUGGAGCCACAAAGUAUAUCUGCUGCCUAGGUUUGGACCAAAUGCAAUUAAUGUAUCAAACAAAAAAUCCUAAUAUUUAUUCAGCUUCAUCCACAGCCUCCA